rnacentral:rRNA from 1 species
AACGAACGCUGGCGGCAUGCCUAACACAUGCAAGUCGAACGAGACCUUCGGGUCUAGUGGCGCACGGGUGCGUAACGCGUGGGAACCUGCCCUUAGGCUCGGAAUAACUCCCCGAAAGGGGUGCUAAUACCGGAUAAUGUCUUCGGACCAAAGAUUUAUCGCCUUUGGAUGGGCCCGCGUUGGAUUAGCUAGUUGGUAGGGUAAAAGCCUACCAAGGCGACGAUCCAUAGCGGGUCUGAGAGGAUGAUCAGCCACACUGGGACUGAGACACGGCCCAGACUCCUACGGGAGGCAGCAGUGGGGAAUAUAGGACAAUGGGCGAAAGCCUGAUCCAGCAAUGCCGCGUGAGUGAUGAAGGCCUUAGGGUUGUAAAGCUCUUUUACCCGGGAUGAUAAUGACAGUACCGGGAGAAUAAGCACCGGCUAACUCCGUG